rnacentral:rRNA from 1 species
GCCGCAACUGACGCUGAGGAGCGAAAGCAUGGGGAGCGAACAGGAUUAGAUACCCUGGUAGUCCAUGCCGUAAACGUUGGGCACUAGGUGUGGGACUCAUUCCACGAGUUCCGUGCCGCAGCUAACGCAUUAAGUGCCCCGCCUGGGGAGUACGGCCGCAAGGCUAAAACUCAAAGGAAUUGACGGGGGCCCGCACAAGCGGCGGAGCAUGCGGAUUAAUUCGAUGCAACGCGAAGAACCUUACCAAGGCUUGACAUGCACCGGACGCUGCCAGAGAUGGUGGUUCCGCAAGGUCGGUGCACAGGUGGUGCAUGGUUGUCGUCAGCUCGUGUCGUGAGAUGUUGGGUUAAGUCCCGCAACGAGCGCAACCCUUGUCCUAUGUUGCCAGCGGGUUAUGCCGGGGACUCAUGGGAGACUGCCGGGGUCAACUCGGAGGAAGGCGGGGAUGACGUCAAAUCAUCAUGCCCCUUAUGUCUUGGGCUUCACGCAUGCUACAAUGGCCGGUACAGAGGGCUGCGAUACCGUAAGGUGGAGCGAAUCCCAAAAAGCCGGUCUCAGUUCGGAUUGGGGUCUGCAACUCGACCCCAUGAAGUCGGAGUCGCUAGUAAUCGCAGAUCAGCAACGCUGCGGUGAAUACGUUCCCGGGCCUUGUACACACCGCCCGUCAAGUCACGAAAGUUGGUAACACCCGAAGCUCACGGCCCAA